CCAAUAGCUAACAUUGAAGAAAAUUACAAACCAACCAUGAUACAUCGCAGCAAAUUAUUUUUUAUGAGGUCAACAGCAUAGCCAACUGCAUUUAUCUAUACUACCUAACAACCAUAGUUAAUCGUCUAGUUUCUAUUCUCCCCAGAUAAACGAAAAAUUCUCCAGUAUCUAUGUUUGGAGGGAAUCCUUUCUUGUCCACUCGCCCUUCCAUUAUAUCUGUUGCCUGAUCCCUGUUUGCACAGGCAAGCAGGUUAAUGACGCCUAUGGAGAGUGAAAAUAGGACAAUGCAGAAAAUACUGCCUGCUCGAUGGUCAGAAAGAGAAGAAGGGCCGCUGCAAACACUGAAAUUUUAG
rnacentral:lncRNA from 1 species